rnacentral:lncRNA from 1 species
CAUCCACAUCUCACAUGAGAACCCUGAAAAUCCUAGUGAGCCUCCUUGGCCACAGAGCUGAGCGCAGCCCAGGCUGUCCCCGCCACCAAUCCCAACCUGUUUGGACCUCACUUAGUGACAGAGUCCCUGGGGCCCACAAACAUUUAUUCCUCACCGGGCGGGUUCCAGAAAGGGACAGUCACACCUGUGGCCGUGCCCUGACUGCCAGUCACCGUGGGAACCCGGGCAGCGGCAGGGCAGGCCCUAGGAGGAUGCUUGAGGAAUUGGGUCAUCGGAGCGGAGAGGAUUUCAGCUCUGUGACUCCUCUGGAACACACAGGCUGGGAAUGGCCGCAUGUGACCCAUCAUUUGACUAACAGUAUGUGUUGCAUAGUGGAAUAAGGCCCCGAGUUCAAGUUCUGACUCAGCGUCUCACCUGCUGCAUCAUCUUACACACAUCCCUGCCCCACGCUGGGCUUCUGUCUCCUCCUUUUGAAAAGAGGGGGUUAGACUGCGUGGCAGCUGAGCCCCCUUCCAGCUUCAGUCAGUCUCUAAGGGUCUCAAGACAUCUCUCUCUGCCUCUGUCUCUGAGUGUCUCUGUGGCUAUCUCUUCCAUCUGUCUCUCUGUCUCUAUCUCCUCUGUCUCUGUCUCUGUCUCUCUGUCUCUAUCUCUCUCUGUCUCUGUCUGUCUCCUCUCUGUCUCUGUCUGUCUUCUCCGUCUCUGUCUGUCUCCUCUGUCUCUGUCUCUGUCUCUCUGUCUCUGUUUGUCUCCUCUGUCUCUGUCUCUGUCUCUGUGGCUAUCUCUUCUGUCUGUCUCGAACUAUCUCCUCUGUCUCUGUCUCUGUCUCUCUGUCUCUUUCUCUCUCUGUCUCUGUCUGUCUCCUCUGUCUCUCUGUCUCUGUCUGUCUCCUCUGUCUCUGUCUCUGUCUCUGUCUCUGUCUCUGUGGCUAUCUCUUCUGUCUGUCUCUAACUAUCUCCUCUGUCUCUGUCUGCCUCCUCUGUCUCUCUGUCUUUCUAUCUCCUUUGUCUGUCUUUUCCUCUCUAACUCGGUCUCCUCUAUGUCUGUCUCUCUGUCUCUUUCCUAUCUCCUCUGUCUCUGUCUCUCUAUCUCUGUCUCUUUCUAUCUCCUCUGUCUCUGUCUGUCUCUGCCUCCCCAUCUGCUCUGACUACUGACCUGUAACUUCCUUUAA